rnacentral:rRNA from 1 species
UACAGAGGGGGCAAGCGUUGUUCGGAAUUACUGGGCGUAAAGGGCGCGUAGGCGGCCUGUUAAGUCGAACGUGAAAUCCCCGGGCUCAACCCGGGAACUGCGUCCGAUACUGGCAGGCUUGAAUCCGGGAGAGGGAUGCGGAAUUCCAGGUGUAGCGGUGAAAUGCGUAGAUACCUGGAGGAACACCGGUGGCGAAGGCGGCAUCCUGGACCGGUAUUGACGCUGAGGAGCGAAAGCGUGGGGAGCGAACAGG